rnacentral:piRNA from 1 species
UCCUACUGAAGCAAGGUGCCACGUGUC